UGGGGAAUCUUGCGCAAUGCGCGAAAGCGUGACGCAGCAACGCCGCGUGCGGGAAGACGGCCUUCGGGUUGUAAACCGCUUUCAGUUGGGACGAAGCUUCGCCGGUGAACAGCCGGCCGGAGUGACGGUACCUUCACAAGAAGCCCCGGCUAACUACGUGCCAGCAGCCGCGGUAAUACGUAGGGGGCAAGCGUUGUCCGGAAUCAUUGGGCGUAAAGCGCGUGUAGGCGGCUUCGUCAGUCCGUUGUGAAAGGCCAGGGCUCAACCCUGGAAUGCCGAUGGAUACUGCGGAGCUCGAGUCCGGAAGAGGCAAGUGGAAUUCCUGUGUAGCGGUGAAAUGCGCAGAUAUCAGGAGGAACACCAAUGGCGAAGGCAGCUUGCUGGGACGGUACUGACGCUGAGACGCGAAAGCGUGGGGAGCAAACA
rnacentral:rRNA from 1 species